UACAGGGGGUGCAAACGUUGCUCGGAAUCAUUGGGCGUAAAGAGCUCGUAGGCGGUCCGUCACGUCGGCUGUGAAAACCCGAGGCUCAACCUCGGGCCUGCAGUCGAUACGGGCAGACUAGAGUGCGGUAGGGGAGACUGGAAUUCCUGGUGUAGCGGUGAAAUGCGCAGAUAUCAGGAGGAACACCGGUGGCGAAGGCGGGUCUCUGGGCCGUAACUGACGCUGGAGGAGCGAAAGCGUUGGGGAGCGAACAGG
rnacentral:rRNA from 1 species